GAAUGCUGAUAGAAAGUCCCUGCUCAGAGCGGCGCUAGAGUUGUAGUUUACGAAGCAAUAUUAACACGUACUUUUCUUUACAAAAUUCAGGUGGCUGACAUUACGGGAUGCUGACUUGAGAGUUAUAUAUGAUGCUUCUGUAAGGAAUGUGACCUGCUCUUCUAUAUUCGUAAGGUGCACAGAUCUGGUCUCCAUAGCUCAAAAGGGAUUUCACUCGGAAGCAAGGUUUGAUUGGAUUGGUUGGCGCUUCUGGCUUGACUAGUCAUUCGGAAAACCAAGCAACAUGAAAAGCUCAGCGCUCUCCGCAAGAUAUCUUGCUCCCGUCCUACUUGCAUACACACCAAGGAAUGACGUGGAGCGUCCAUCUUUGAUCCUGGAAAGUAGCUAUGAAGACUAUGCAACGGAGUUGUGCACUGUCGAUGGAUUAGAAACUCCGUACCGG